UCACGGGGCAAAGUUUCUACUUCGGUCCACACGCAGCUCCUCACAACCCCCAAUUUCAAGUCUAAUCCCGACCGUCUAUUUUAACCCUAACCGAAUCCCAACCGUCCAAAUCCCGUAACUAUCUUCUUUCCUCUGUACUUGUUCGCCAUAUUAUCUUUCUCUCCCUCGGUCGCCCACAAACUCAAUCCCUUUCUCUCUUCACUAACUCCAAAACCCACAAGCUAAAAAAGCCAUAAAUUCAUGGAAUCCGAUCAGGGCAAGCUGUUUAUUGGUGGGAUUUCAUGGGAGACAAGCGAGGACAAGUUAAAGGAUUACUUUUCCCAGUUUGGUGACGUUUUGCAGACCGUUGUUAUGAGGGAGAAAACCACUGGGAGACCCAGAGGUUUUGGGUUUGUGGUUUUUUCAGAUCCUUCCAUUCUUGAUCGCGUUCUUCUGGAUAAGCACACCAUCGAUGGACGAACGGUUGAGGUGAAGAGAGCCAUGUCAAGAGAGGAGCAGCAAACAUCAGCCAGAAAUGGGAACUUUAAUUCUUCUAGAAACAAUGGAGGUGGUGGAAACAUCAGGACCAAGAAGAUAUUUGUUGGAGGGUUGCCUCCCACUCUAACUGAAGAUGGAUUUCGUCAAUAUUUUGAAGGUUACGGCCAUGUCACUGAUGUGGUAAUCAUGUAUGACCAGAAUACACAACGGCCUCGUGGAUUUGGUUUUAUUUCCUUUGAUACUGAAGAUGCAGUUGACAGGGUUUUACAUAAAACUUUUCAUGAUUUGAAUGGUAAACAAGUUGAAGUAAAACGGGCUCUUCCUAAGGAUUCCAAUCCUGGUGGAGUUGGCCGUAACAUGGGGUCUGGUGGAGCUGGAUUUGGUGGUUAUCAGGGUUAUGGUGCUUCUGGUGGCAAUUCAAAUGCAUUUGAGGGUCAUAUGGAUUCGAAUAGGUACAUGCAGCCUCAGAGUACCGGAAGUGGUUUUCCACCUUAUGGUUCAUCUGGGUAUAGCACACCUGGCUAUGGAUAUGGUCCAUCUAGCAACAAUGUUGGUUAUGGUGGUUAUGGAAGUUAUGGUGGUGCCAAUACUGGGUAUGGUGGCCCUGCAGGUGCUACAUAUGGGAACCCAAAUUUAGCUAAUAGUGGUUAUGCAAGUGGUCCACCAGGUGCGCCCAGAAGUACAUGGGGAACCCAAGCCCCUUCUGGUUAUGGCACUAUGGGCUAUGGAAAUGCUGCUCCUUGGGGUACUGGCAGCAGUGGUGGUCCUGGUUCAACACCUACUGGUCAAUCUCCUAGUGGGGCUACUGGCUAUGGGAAUCAAGGUUAUGGGUAUGGUGGUUAUGGUGGGUAUGGUGGAAGUGAAGGCUCUUAUGGGAAUGCCUCUGGGUAUGGAGCUGUUGGUGGACGUUCUGGGAGUGUCCCAAGUGGUAAUGCUGGUAAUCAGGGUGCAGGAGAAUUACAAGGGAGUGGUGGCAGCUAUAUGGGAAGUGGCUAUGGUGAUUCUAAUGGAAAUUCAGGGUAUGGAAAUGCAGGUUGGAGAUCUGAUGCAUCACAAGCUUCUGGAAAUUAUGGAACUCAACCAAAUGGUCCUCAUGGUGGGCAAGUUGGCUAUGGGGGUGGAUAUGGUGGUGGCCAGGCCAGACAAGCCCAACAACAGUGAUUAGAUUGCUUUUUUUGCCAAUUGGACCAUAGCUCCAUGUUUCAGACUCAUCUCUUUGUGGAUGAGGUCACGAUCUGUUGUUUCCGGCAACAAAGGGAGCAGCACAAGUUGAUGUUGAUGCACACUGGGACCGGAGGAGAGAUGCUCAAGUUCUAAGGUGGAGUCAAGUGUCCACUCAUGGCUGAACCCAAGCUACGUAUUGGGGGUGUGUUCAGUAUGAGGGUAUUUCAGCACGGAGUAAAUGUGGAAGAGGAUUUUUUUCUUAUUGAAAUUGUGAAAUAACCUGAGAUGCCAUUCCCCAGCCAGGUGAUUCCAACAUUGUCAAAUUUUGGAGAUUCUUUGCAUUCCAUUUCAAGUCAUAAAUUUCCCGAUCUUCAUGCGGGUUGGUGAAUUUGAUGAACAUAUGGAAUGUUUAAAAUGAACAGCUAUGGUAUGUUAACCUUCACUGGUUAGCUGUCUAUCUUUACCGAAAUUGGCCAACUUGUUUUAGGAUGCAUCAUAAUGGUUCAUAAUAUUUGAUUCCAGAUGUUUAGAGUAGCAGAAAACUAUUUUCCUUGAGAGGAUUUUCUCCAUGAAUCAUAGUUAUUGAAUGGAUUAAGAACUUCCAUACUUCUGUUCAAAGAUUUAA